AGAGUUUGAUCCUGGCUCAGAUUGAACGCUGGCGGCAUGGCUAAAACAUGCAAGUCGAACGAUGAAAGCUUCUUCGGAAGUGUAUGAAGUGGCGUAAGGGCGAGGAAUAUAUUUCUAUGUACCCCAAAGUCAAGGAUAGCCCAGGGAAACUUGGUGUAAUACUUGAUGUGGUCUCCGGAUCAAAGAUUUAUCGCUUUGGGAGCAGGGAAUAUCCUAUCAGGUUGUUGGUGAGGUAACGGCUCACCAAGCCAAAGACGGGUAGCGGGUGUGAGAGCAUGACCCGCCGCAUCGGGACUGAGACACUGCCCGGACUCCUACGGGAGGCUGCAGUAACGAAUAUUCCGCAAUGAGCGAAAGCUUGACGGAGCAAUGCCGCGUGUAGGAUGAAUCUCCUCGGAGUGUAAACUACUGUCAGAGACUAGGAACUCAAUGACCAAUCUCAAAGGAAGGGCCGGCUAACUUCGUGCCAGCAGCCGCGGUAAUACGAAGGGCCCGAGCGUUAUUCGGAAUCACUGGGCUUAAAGCGUGCGUAGGCGGACUUGUAGGCGUUUUGUGAAAUCCCUCGGCUCAACCGAGGAACUGCAGAGCGAACCCCAAGUCUUGAGACAGAUAGAGGUUGUCGGAACGAUUGGUGGAGUGGUGAAAUGCGUUGAUAUCAAUCGGAACGCCAAAUGAGAAGUCAGGCAACUGGAUCUGUUCUGACGCUGAGGCACGAAAGCGUGGGUAGCGAACGGGAUUAGAUACCCCGGUAGUCCACGCCGUAAACAAUGUGCACUAGGUCGAGGGCGUUCUGACGCGACUCUCGGCCGAAGCGAAAGUGUUAAGUACACCGCCUGGGGAGUACGGUCGCAAGGCUAAAACUCAAAGGAAUUGACGGGGGCUCACACAAGCGGUGGAGCAUGUGGCUUAAUUCGAAGCAACGAGAAGAACCUUAUCCUAGGUUUGACAUACACGGAUUAGCUAUAAGAAACUAUAGUGACACCUUCGGGUGGAACGUGAACAGGUGCUGCAUGGCUGUCGUCAGCUCGUGCUGUGAAGUGUCGGGUUAAGUCCCUUAACGAGCG
rnacentral:rRNA from 1 species